GAUGAACGCUGGCGGCGUGCCUAAUACAUGCAAGUCGAGCGAACAGACGAGGAGCUUACUCCUCUGACGUUAGCGGCGGACGGGUGAGUAACACGUGGAUAACCUACCUAUAAGACUUGGAUAACUUCGGGAAACCGGAGCUACUACCGGAUAACAUGUUGAACCGCAUGGUUCAACAGUGAAAGACGGUCUUGCUGUCACUUAUAGAUGGAUCCGCGUCGCAUUAGCUAGUUGGUAAGGUAACGGCUUACCAAGGCAACGAUGCGUAGCCGACCUGAGAGGGUGAUCGGCCACACUGGAACUGAGACACGGUCCAGACUCCUACGGGAGGCAGCAGUAGGGAAUCUUCCGCAAUGGGCGAAAGCCUGACGGAGCAACGCCGCGUGAGUGAAGAAGGUCUUCGGAUCGUAAAACUCUGUUAUUAGGGAAGAACAAAUGUGUAAGUAACUAUGCACGUCUUGACGGUACCUAAUCAGAAAGCCACGGCUAACUACGUG
rnacentral:rRNA from 1 species